rnacentral:lncRNA from 1 species
GCAGAGAAGCUGGAAGAAUCGAGAAGAAAGAAAGAAAGAAAAGAUAAAGGAAAGAUAGAAAGAACAAAAGAUAGAAAGCAAAAAGGAGAAGGAAAAAAAAGACAGGAAAAGAGGUAGGGUUGGCUAUCCCAAUUUCAUCUUCAAUUUGACAAAUUUCUUAGUAUGUUUUAUGCUUAAUUUUUUUGGGUUGUGAUUUAUUGGUUUAAUUUUUAGAUUGAAGGAAGGAAUAUGUUUGCAAACCAAUAUUUUUGAAUUGGGAAGGUUACUUACACUAAGGUAAGAAAUACCAAUUCUGGAGAAAACCUAAAAUUUUUAUUUGGAUUUUUGAAUGAGUAUAGUUAACCGGAAUAAUUGUAGAAUGGAAUACUCAUUUGAAGGCAUGAAUUUAUGGAUCAAGAUGGAAAAUUAAAUUGGUUAAAUUAUAAUUAUUAGUUUUACUAGUUUGGAAGAAGGAAUUAUUUUUAUGUUGAAGUGGAGAUUAUUUUGAUGAAUUAGAUUUUGGUGAAAGGACUAGAAGGUAGAUUUAGUUCCAAUUGUGAGCGAAAUUAAAGAAUAUAUCCAAGUGUCGAGAAGUCAAGUUCUAGUAUUUCGUAGUUAAAAGUUAAGGAUAUUUGGUAGAGUGGUUGUUAAAUUGAUUAUCUUGUAUCAUAUUUCAGGAGAUGACGAGAAGAUUGAAAUAAUUAUCAGUCUAUAAGUUAGUGAGUGGAUAUCAAACUCAUUUUUCAGAAAUUAAUAUUUAUUAGAUUUAUGUUAGAAUAAAAAAUUUGUUAUUUCAUACAGUUGAUUUGACAACAUGAUUUUUAGAAUAAAGUGGAUUUAUAAUCAGUUGUUUUUAAAGUUAAAUUUAGUUCAAUUAAAUCAUUUGAUUAGCAAGUUAUAUGAAAAUUAAAUAUUUCAGCAUAUUUAAAGUUAUUUGUAAAAUCACCAAAAAGUGCCUAGAUGAUUUUACCCUAGUCUGCACUUGUGUGAAUAUGUUUACAUAGUGUAUGGCCAGUUAUGGUUAUUUUACCCUAGUCUGUACUGGUGUAAGUGUGUUUCCACAGUGUAUGACUAGUUAUGGUGAUUUUACCCGCUUUGCAAUAUUGUGAAUGUAUUUCCAUAGUGUAUGAUCAGAUUAUCAGAGGUCUUUGUGUAAUGAUCCGGAUCUCUUUACCCAAAUCGUUAGCUUACGUACUGUCCGCUUUGGGUGGACCUUGCAUCCACUUACCCCUCACGGCUUUCUGUCGCGUUCCCCAGGAUUCAAACUCAUAACUUUUCCCUUAAGUAAUGCUUAAAUUGAAUCCUGGUACCAAUUGGGCAAGUGAAGUCUUUCUUAAGGGAAUGUUAUGAGUUCGCAUCCAGAAGACGCGAUAGAAAGCCGUGAGGGUAAGUGAGCGCAAGGCCCACCCAAAGCGAACAGUACGUAAACUAACGGCUUGGAUAAAGAGACCCAGGUCGUUACACAUUGGGACCUACUCUCGUACACGCAUAGGCUUUGGACUGUGUACUAGGGUGAUUAUCCUUGGGGCAGUACUGCAUACGUAUUACCAGAUUAUCAGAUGUGAAUGGCUUUACCUUGUAUAUCGAGAUUACUCUGUACAUGAGUAAGGCUAUUCAUUGAGUACCUUUUUGGUGUGAUUUUCAGUAUUAUACAGUUUAUCAAAUUUCAGACUACAGAAUUUAGCUUAUUUAGUUUGUAGAGUAAUGAUUUCAGCUUAUAGUAUUGUGAAAUGAUAUUUUCACUUAUAUUUACUGAUAUCAGAUUAUUUAUAUUUGUUAUACUUUAUAGCUGUUUAUCUAGAAUUAAGAACAAAGAAUUUUAUGAUGCAAUCAUAUUUAGUUUUAAAAGAGUUACCAGAUUUCAGAAUUUCUUAAAGUUUUAAUAGAGUAAGAAUUUAAAGAAAAUAUUCAUAAACGAGAAAAGUAUACUUAUUUGCAAACCAUCCACUCACUGUGUUAUAAGCUCAUGUUUUGUCACCCUCUUUCUAAGCAGAUAGUAGCAGAGUUGAGUAGCCUUGGAGCCUGUCGAUCUAUCGAAUUGAGCCACACACACUGCCAUUAUUUGUAUGACUCAUUUUGUCAAUCUAUGGAAUUUAUAUAUUUUUUCUUUGGCACACAUGUUUGUUUGUCAGAAAAAUUAAUUAGCAAGUCAUGUGUCCAUAUCUUGGGCUCACUACAAAUUUGGUAUCCUUAAUAUUUUUGGUGUCUUUUGUUUGUAAAGCAUAGUAAAUAUCAACUUGCCAGUAUUCUAUUUUGAAUAGUUUGUAUUUUAAGGGACUAGUGUGUCCUAUUUUAAAUUAUAUGAACGGAUUUGAGAAAAUUGAUUCUUGUUUAGAUGGUUUUACUUCAUAUUCCAAGGAAACUCUGCCAAAAUUCUGUUAAAAAUAUUUUUCAGUCAAGCAAGUCAGAGUUGCCUUGGUGGUGGAUUCGUCUCUUAGGUGGUAUCUACCAUCGACACACGACACGUGUUGGUUCAUUAAGGUGAUUCAGGAUGGGUUGUGUCAAUUGGUAUCAGAGCAUGGUUUAUAAAGUUUUGAAAGUCUUCAUUGUUCAUGCAUUGGUAUGUCAUGCAUAUUCAGUGUGUGUGGUCACAUGUCGUGGUGCUAGAAAUCACAGUCUCUCAAGUUCUUGCUUCUAGAUUGUUUGGAACUUAAGUGAGGGAAAUAUUUUUAACAGAUUCAAAAAUGACUAGUAUGUAAGUAUAUCAGUUGCAAUGACUUAAUGGUUGACAAUAUUAUAAGUUGUUGGAUUUGUACAGUGGUGUAUGUAACAUAUUACUCAAUAAGGGUGCAAUUGGGAAC